rnacentral:lncRNA from 1 species
UCCUUCCUCUCUUAGUAGGACAGUAUGGAGAAAGUUGGUAUCUUUAUUUAUUUAUUUAUUUUAUUUUUCAUCAAAAGAAAGAUUCAUCUUCUACUUGGAUAACCAGAGAUAUCAUAUUGAUGGAUUCCAUAAAAAGAUCCAAAUUAUUAUGGUAUACUAUAGGAAUGGAGUCUCACUUAUAAAGAGGGAUACCUAACAUGAGUCUUUUUGUCCUUGGGAUAUUCACUACUAGUUGAUUAGUGGUUUGCCCUUGGGUG